rnacentral:rRNA from 1 species
GACGAACGUUGGCGGCGUGCUUAACACAUGCAAGUCGAACGGAAAGGCCCUGCUUUUGUGGGGUGCUCGAGUGGCGAACGGGUGAGUAACACGUGAGUAACCUGCCCUUGACUUUGGGAUAACUUCAGGAAACUGGGGCUAAUACCGGAUAGGAGCUCCUGCUGCAUGGUGGGGGUUGGAAAGUUUCGGCGGUUGGGGAUGGACUCGCGGCUUAUCAGCUUGUUGGUGGGGUAGUGGCUUACCAAGGCUUUGACGGGUAGCCGGCCUGAGAGGGUGACCGGCCACAUUGGGACUGAGAUACGGCCCAGACUCCUACGGGAGGCAGCAGUGGGGAAUAUUGCACAAUGGGCGGAAGCCUGAUGCAGCAACGCCGCGUGCGGGAUGACGGCCUUCGGGUUGUAAACCGCUUUCGCCUGUGACGAAGCGUGAGUGACGGUAAUGGGUAAAGAAGCACCGGCUAACUACGUGCCAGCAGCCGCGGUGAUACGUAGGGUGCGAGCGUCGUCCGGAUUUAUUGGGCGUAAGGGCUCGUAGGUGGUUGAUCGCGUCGGAAGUGUAAUCUUGGGGCUUAACCCUGAGCGUGCUUUCGAUACGGGUUGACUUGAGGAAGGUAGGGGAGAAUGGAAUUCCUGGUGGAGCGGUGGAAUGCGCAGAUAUCAGGAGGAACACCAGUGGCGAAGGCGGUUCUCUGGGCCUUUCCUGACGCUGAGGAGCGAAAGCGUGGGGAGCGAACAGGCUUAGAUACCCUGGUAGUCCACGCUGUAAACGGUGGGUACUAGGUGUGGGGUCCAUUCCACGGGUUCCGUGCCGUAGCUAACGCUUUAAGUACCCCGCCUGGGGAGUACGGCCGCAAGGCUAAAACUCAAAGGAAUUGACGGGGCCCCGCACAAGCGGCGGAGCAUGCGGAUUAAUUCGAUGCAACGCGUAGAACCUUACCUGGGUUUGACAUGGAUCGGGAGUGCUCAGAGAUGGGUGUGCCUCUUUUGGGGUCGGUUCACAGGUGGUGCAUGGCUGUCGUCAGCUCGUGUCGUGAGAUGUUGGGUUAAGUCCCGCAACGAGCGCAACCCUUGUUCACUGUUGCCAGCACGUUAUGGUGGGGACUCAGUGGAGACCGCCGGGGUCAACUCGGAGGAAGGUGGGGAUGACGUCAAGUCAUCAUGCCCCUUAUGUCCAGGGCUUCACGCAUGCUACAAUGGCUGGUACAGAGAGUGGCGAGCCUGUGAGGGUGAGCGAAUCUCGGAAAGCCGGUCUCAGUUCGGAUUGGGGUCUGCAACUCGACCUCAUGAAGUCGGAGUCGCUAGUAAUCGCAGAUCAGCAACGCUGCGGUGAAUACGUUCCCGGGGCU